GGCCUUGACAUACUAAGAACUUUCCAGAGAUGGAUUGGUGCCUUCGGGAACUUAGAUACAGGUGCUGCAUGGCUGUCGUCAGCUCGUGUCGUGAGAUGUUGGGUUAAGUCCGCAACGAGCGCAACCCUUUUCCUUAUUUGCCAGCGGGUCAUGCCGGGAACUUUAAGGAUACUGCCAGUGACAAACUGGAGGAAGGCGGGGACGACGUCAAGUCAUCAUGGCCCUUACGGCCAGGGCUACACACGUGCUACAAUGGUCGGUACAAAGGGUUGCUACCUCGCGAGAGGAUGCUAACCUCAAAAAGCCGAUCGUAGUCCGGAUCGCAGUCUGCAACUCGACUGCGUGAAGUCGGAAUCGCUAGUAAUCGCGGAUCAGAAUGCCGCGGUGAAUACGUUCCCGGGCCUUGUACACACCGCCCGUCACACCAUGGGAGUUUGUUGCACCAGAAGUAGGUAGUCUAACCGCAAGGAGGACGCUUACCACGGUGUGGCCGAUGACUGGGGUGAAGUCGUAACAAGGUAGGCGUAGAUGA
rnacentral:rRNA from 1 species